AUAUCUCUCCGUACGGGAAGGAUGAGAAGCUUCGACCAAGGUUCGAUUCGAGCGCAGCGAGAAAACGUUGCCGCAGGCAACGACCCGAAGGGCGAAGCGCGCAGCGCUGAGUAAUCCUUCCCCCACCACCA
rnacentral:sRNA from 2 species